GGCGGCAGGCCUAACACAUGCAAGUCGAGCGGCAAGCACGGGUACUUGUACCUGGUGGCGAGCGGCGGACGGGUGAGUAAUGCCUAGGAAUCUGCCUGGUAGUGGGGGAUAACGCUCGGAAACGGACGCUAAUACCGCAUACGUCCUACGGGAGAAAGCAGGGGACCUUCGGGCCUUGCGCUAUCAGAUGAGCCUAGGUCGGAUUAGCUAGUUGGUGAGGUAAUGGCUCACCAAGGCGACGAUCCGUAACUGGUCUGAGAGGAUGAUCAGUCACACUGGAACUGAGACACGGUCCAGACUCCUACGGGAGGCAGCAGUGGGGAAUAUUGGACAAUGGGCGAAAGCCUGAUCCAGCCAUGCCGCGUGUGUGAAGAAGGUCUUCGGAUUGUAAAGCACUCUAAGUUGGGAGGAAGGGCAGCUACCUAAUACGUGAUUGUUUUGACGCUACCGACCGAAUA
rnacentral:rRNA from 1 species